UCGGUGAGACGUCGAUCUUUCUCCUUCCAAAAUACGCUUUCCCACGCUCUUACUGCUUACCCGGCUUUCCCUCCGACUCACUCUCAUGUCUCUUCUACUUAGCUAGGGUUUGUUCUCAUUCACUUUCUGAAAUUCUACCAGGAUUCAUCGAUCCCUGCAAGAGUACUGCUUCGCGCCGGUAUUAGGCGGUGCUUUAGUUGCUGAUUGAAAAUGCAUAUUAAGAAGAUUAUUAUUGAAGGAUUUAAGAGUUACAAGGAGGAGGUCUCCACGGAUCCUUUUAGUCCCAAAGUUAACUGUGUUG